rnacentral:tRNA from 1 species
GCAGCCGUGGCCCACUGGUUAGCACUUCGGACUUGUAACCGGAGGGUUGCUGGUUCGAGCCCCGACCAGUGGGCCGCG